GUAGAUAUAGUUUAACGAAAACAUUAGAUUGUGAUUCUAAAGACAAGAGUUAAAGUCCCUUUAUCCACC
rnacentral:tRNA from 1 species